CAGAGCAAGACUCUGUCUCAAAAAAAAAAAAAAAUUAUAAUGUUUUAAGAAAGUUUCAAAGCUCUCCUGGGCCAUGUGCAGCCUGCAAGCCGUGGGUUGGACAAGGUUGAGAUAGUCCAAAUCUCUUCAGACUGUAUUUUACAUAGAGUGGAAGGCAUAGCCCUGGGAGGAAAACCUCACAUGUAUAUUGUUGCCCAUUCCAUGUAAAUGCAAACUUUUUUCUGACUCUUUUUCUUUUUCUGAUUAGGAUAAAAAAGAACACAUUUGCCAAAUCAGUGGUUGUAUAAUAUGUUCCCGAGGCCAAAGUAAUCUGCUGUAGCAAAGAUACUACAUCUUACAUAAUGGCUGUAAUCGGGGCUAUAGUACUUGGUUGAACUCAUGGCAGUCUACAGUCACCUUCCAGGAUCAUCUGGUUUCUGUAAGGUCAAGAAUGGUGAAUUAAACAGAUAUAUGAUAGAAACCACCAUCCCUGUAUCCUUUAUAUCCUAAGGAUGGAACUAAUUUCUGCUGUACCUACUCUCAACACUUUUCUUUGUUGUCCCCCAGGAGUAAACCAAUCCUGGUUAUGAACUCAGAGACUGGGAAAUGACCACUGAGUGGCUCCAAGGACCCAAUGGCUGCACUGUAAGCCAGGCCCAAGACAGGAUUUCACUUACAACCUGGCCCCAUGUGCUUCCCGCACUCUUAACAAGGAGAGGUUAUGAUGGUGCUUCAGGCCUCCAGCAUCAUUGUCAACACAGACCCUACAUCCAACAGACCCUGAUAUGUCUAGAUGGUCUUACUCUGUUGCCCAGGCUGAAGUGCAGUGGCACGAUCUCGGCUCACUAUAACCUUUGCCUCCCGGAUUCAAGCAAUUCUCCUGCCUCAGCCUCCCAAGUAGCUGGGACUACAGGUAUGUGCCAUCACGCCUGACUAAUUUUUGUAUUUUUAGCAGAGAUGGGGUUUCGCCAUGUUGGCCAGGCUGGUCUCAAACUCCUAACCUUAGGUGAUCCACCCGCCUUGGCCUCCCAAAGUGCUGGGAUUACAGGCAUGAGCCAUUGCACCUGGCCCCAUAACCUGGAUUUUAAUGCUUGUUACUGGCCCUAAGUUGUUUAUUAUCCUGUAGCACAUCCAUGGAGCUUGGCAAUAGCCACCAAUUCCGUCAUCCUCAUAGCUACUACUCCCUCCGUACAUCUCAAGUACCUGGCACAUUGUGCCCUUAGAGUAUCCAGUUCUACUGGUACAUUCUCCCAAUUUGCUGCCAUUUGUCUGUGCUCUGCCCACCUCCACUAAUGGGAUCCUUAUCAUCAGAUGGGUGGUGAUCCAGUUCCAAACCCCAUCUUACCAUCUCCUUUCUCAUCUACUUUGGUAGCAACUGUGGAAGACCAGAUUCUCAAGAAGGAGAUGCUGAGAUAGAGUUUGGGACGCAAAAUGUUUAUUAAGGACCCAUACCUGUGAAAGGAAGGAAGAGAAAGCAGGACUGGGCAGAGGGAAAGUCAACCUGUGCUGCAGGCUUGACCAAGCUCAGCCGAUCAGCAGGUCACUCUAGAAUGAGAAGUGCUCAUCAGGGCUUUCCAACAUCAAGUUUAAAUGGCUGGACCUUUAUACCUCUGCCUUGCUCAGUCACCAAAUGUGGGCUACCCCAGGAAGGGCAUGACCUCAGGUGAGGCAGCCCUGCAGCUGAAGCAGGCUCUGAAGGAACUGAAAGCUGGUAUUGUCUGCUGCCCUCUCUCUGCAGCUAGGCAGCAUGUCCUUUCUUGAAGGUGAUCUGGGCAACACAUCACCAUGUGUCUCACAAUGACAUACAGACAUGAAGGGACAUAAAUCCUAAGUAUACAAUUUGGUGAACUCACCCAGCUCAAAAAGUAGAAAUUAUCUGCAUCACAGAACCCCCAUUUAUUCCUCUUCUCAGUCAAUCUCUCUUCCCAAGGUAACCACUAUCCUUCUUCUAUCACCAUAGACUCAUUUACCUGCUUUUUAAAUUUUUAACUGUGGUCAAAUACACAUAAUAUAAAACUUACCAUGUGAGCCAUUUUUAAGUGUGCAGUGCAGCCGUGUGAAAUACAUUCACAUUGUUGUGCAACUAAUCUCCAAAACUCUUCAUCUUGCAAAACUAAAACUCUGUACCCAUUAAACAAAUCCCCAUUAUCUUCAUUAUCUUUUCCCAAGCCUUUACUAACUACCAUUCUACCAUUCUACUUCCUUUUUUUUUCUUUUCUUUCCUUUUUUUUUUUUUUUUUUUUUUUUUUUUUGAGAGAGAGUCUCGUUCUGUCGCCCAGGCUGGAGUGUAGUGGUGUAAUCUCAGCUCACUGCAACCUCCGCCUCCCGUGUUCAAGUGAUUCUCCUGUCUCAGCCUCCCGAGUAGCUGGGACUACAGGUGCCUGCCACCAUGCCCAGCUAAUCUUUGUAUUUUUAGUACAGACAGGGUUUCACUUUGUUGGCCAGGCUGGUCUCGAACUCCCGACCUUGUGAUCUGCCCGCCUCGGCUUCCCAAAGUGCUGAGAUUACAGGCGUGAGCCACCACGCCUGGCCUACCAUUCUACUUUCUGUGUCUAUAAAUCUGACUGCUCAAAGUACUUCAUACAAAUGGAAUCAUACAGUAUGCAUCUUUCUGUGCCUGGCUUAUUUUACAUAGCCUAAUAUCCUUAAGUUUCAGCCGUGGUGUAGCAUGUGACAGGAUUUCCUUCCUUUUCAAGGCCGACUAAUAUUCUGCUGCAUCUUGCUGGGCACAGUGGCUCAUGCCUGAAAUCCGAGCACUUUGGGAGCUUGAGGUGGGUGAAUCACUUGAGGUCAGGAGUUUGAGACCAGCCUGGCCAACAUGGUGAAACCCCAUCUCUACUAAAAAUACAAAAUUAGCCAGGUGUGGUGGCACAUGUCUGUAAUCCCAGCUAUUUAGGAAGGUGAGGCAGGAGAAUGGUUUAAAUCCAGGAGAUGGAGGCUGCAGUGAGCUGAGAUGGCACCAUUGCACUCCAGCCUGGAAAACAAGGGCAAAACUACGUCUCUAAAAAAAAAUAAUAAAAGAAUUCCACUGUAUCUAUAUGCCACAUUUUGUUUAUCCAUACAUUCAUCAAUGGACACUUGGGUUACUUCCACCUUUUGGUUAGUAUAAAUAAUACUGCUAUGAACACAAGUAGAUUGUUUACCUGCUUUUGAGCUUUUCAUAUAAAUGAAAUGAAUUCUACCAUGUGUAUUAUUUUAUGUUUGGUUUCUUUCCUUCAACAUUGUUUGUGAAAUUCAUCCAUCUUAUCGCAUGCAGCAAUAGUUUACUUUUCUCAUUGAUAUAUAGUAGUUCAUUGUAUAAUCACAUCCCAAUCUGUUUAUUCCAUCUACCAGUGAUGGACAUUUAGGUUGUUUCCAGGUUGUAUCUGUUAUGAAUAGUGCUGCUAUAAACAUUCUUGUUGGUGUCUUUUAUUAUACGCAUGUAUGCAUUUCUGGAUGUAAACACCUAGGAGUUAAAUUGCUGGGUCAUAGAUUAUGUUUGUUUAGUUUUACUAGACACUGCCAAAUAGUUUUCCAAGAUGACUAUACCAAUUUACCUCCUCCGGAACACUGAAUGAGCAUUCCAGUUGUUUGGUAUCCUCAAUAACACUUGAUGUCAUCGGUUAUUUUAAUUUUAGUAAUUCUCAUUAAUGUAAAGUGGUAUCUCAUUGUGGUUUUAAUUUGUAUUUCCCUAAUGACUAAUGAGGUUGAAAGACUUCUUAUGUUUAUCAGUCAAUUGGAUGUGAAGUGCUUGUUCAUGUUUUCUGUGAAGUGCUUGUUCAUGUUUCUUGCCCUUAAUUUAGUUGUCUGUUUUUUUCCUUA